GGUCAUGGCUCAGUGGCAGAGCACUUGCCUAGCAUGCAUGAGGCACUGGGCUCGAUCCCCAGCACCA
rnacentral:tRNA from 1 species